GGAAGUAAAAGCCGUAACAAGGUCUCCGUUGGUGAACCAGCGGAGGGAUCAUUACUGGAAUCGCAAGAUCCCACAACCCUGUGAACCUACCGAAACGUUGCCUCGGCGGGUGCCUGGCCCCCGCGCCGGGCGCUGCGCCCGCCGGCGGCCCCCUACUCUGUCUCUGCAGCGUGGCAUCUCAGAGUCCCAGAAGACAAGUCAAAACUUUCAACAACGGAUCUCUUGGCUCUA
rnacentral:misc_RNA from 1 species